GGUUUGAUGGUGUAGUUGGUUAUCACGUCAGUCUAACAUCUCAAGAUGGUUCACUGAAGGUCGGGAGAUCGAGCCUCCCUCGAAUCA